rnacentral:rRNA from 1 species
GACAACCUGGUUGAUCCUGCCAGUAGUCAUAUGCUUGUCUCAAAGAUUAAGCCAUGCAUGUCUCAGUACAAGCCAAACUAAGGUGAAACCGCGAAAGGCUCAUUAAAUCAGUUAUGGUUCCUUAGAUCGUACCAACAUUUACUUGGAUAACUGUGGUAAUUCUAGAGCUAAUACAUGCAAACAGAGCUUCGACCGGAGACGGAAGAGGCGCUUUUAUUAGAUCAAAACCAAUCGGCGGCGGGUUCGCUUGCGGGCUCGUCGUCGUUUUCACUGACGAAUCUGAAUAACUUUCUGCUGAUCGCACGGUCUCGCACCGGCGACGCAUCUUUCAAAUGUCUGCCUUAUCAACUGUCGAUGGUAGGUUCUGUGCCUACCAUGGUUGUAACGGGUAACGGGGAAUCAGGGUUCGAUUCCGGAGAGGGAGCCUGAGAAACGGCUACCACAUCCAAGGAAGGCAGCAGGCGCGCAAAUUACCCACUCCCGGCACGGGGAGGUAGUGACGAAAAAUAACGAUACGGGACUCAUCCGAGGCCCCGUAAUCGGAAUGAGAACAAUUUAAAUCCUUUAACGAGGAUCAAUUGGAGGGCAAGUCUGGUGCCAGCAGCCGCGGUAAUUCCAGCUCCAAUAGCGUAUAUUAAAGUUGUUGCGGUUAAAAAGCUCGUAGUCGAAUCUGUGUCCCGCGCCGCCGGUUCGUCGCUCGCGGCGUUUAACUGGCGUGUCCGCGGGACGUCCUGCCGGUGGGCUUAGCUUUUUCAUUAAGGCGGCCCAAUCUUAAUCCCGCCGCGGUGCUCUUCACCGAGUGUCGAGGCGGGCCGGCACGUUUACUUUGAACAAAUUAGAGUGCUUAAAGCAGGCUAAAACUUCGCCUGAAUACUUCGUGCAUGGAAUAAUGGAAUAGGACCUCGGUUCUAUUUUGUUGGUUUUCGGAACCCCGAGGUAAUGAUUAAUAGGAACGGAUGGGGGCAUUCGUAUUGCGACGUUAGAGGUGAAAUUCUUGGAUCGUCGCAAGACGGACAGAAGCGAAAGCAUUUGCCAAAAACGCUUUCAUCGAUCAAGAACGAAAGUUAGAGGUUCGAAGGCGAUCAGAUACCGCCCUAGUUCUAACCAUAAACUAUGCCAGCUAGCGAUCCGCCGAAGUUACUUCUAUGACUCGGCGGGCAGCUUCCGGGAAACCAAAGCUUUNGGGUUCCGGGGGAAGUAUGGUUGCAAAGCUGAAACUUAAAGGAAUUGACGGAAGGGCACCACCAGGAGUGGAGCCUGCGGCUUAAUUUGACUCAACACGGGAAACCUCACCAGGCCCGGACACCGGAAGGAUUGACAGAUUGAGAGCUCUUUCUUGAUUCGGUGGGUGGUGGUGCAUGGCCGUUCUUAGUUGGUGGAGCGAUUUGUCUGGUUAAUUCCGAUAACGAACGAGA